rnacentral:rRNA from 1 species
UGGCGGCGUGCUUAACACAUGCAAGUCGAACGAUGAAGCCCUUCGGGGUGGAUUAGUGGCGAACGGGUGAGUAACACGUGGGCAAUCUGCCCUUCACUCUGGGACAAGCCCUGGAAACGGGGUCUAAUACCGGAUAACACUCCUACUCGCAUGGGUGGGGGUUAAAAGCUCCGGCGGUGAAGGAUGAGCCCGCGGCCUAUCAGCUUGUUGGUGAGGUAACGGCUCACCAAGGCGACGACGGGUAGCCGGCCUGAGAGGGCGACCGGCCACACUGGGACUGAGACACGGCCCAGACUCCUACGGGAGGCAGCAGUGGGGAAUAUUGCACAAUGGGCGAAAGCCUGAUGCAGCGACGCCGCGUGAGGGAUGACGGCCUUCGGGUUGUAAACCUCUUUCAGCAGGGAAGAAGCGAAAGUGACGGUACCUGCAGAAGAAGCGCCGGCUAACUACGUGCCAGCAGCCGCGGUAAUACGUAGGGCGCAAGCGUUGUCCGGAAUUAUUGGGCGUAAAGAGCUCGUAGGCGGCUUGUCACGUCGGGUGUGAAAGCCCGGGGCUUAACCCCGGGUCUGCAUUCGAUACGGGCUAGCUAGAGUGUGGUAGGGGAGAUCGGAAUUCCUGGUGUAGCGGUGAAAUGCGCAGAUAUCAGGAGGAACACCGGUGGCGAAGGCGGAUCUCUGGGCCAUUACUGACGCUGAGGAGCGAAAGCGUGGGGAGCGAACAGGAUUAGAUACCCUGGUAGUCCACGCCGUAAA